rnacentral:snoRNA from 1 species
UGGCCGGUGAUGGAUGAAACCUGAGUUGUACAGACACUAAGUAUAAACCUUCUCAAUUUUGAAGCAUUGAUUUAAUUUGUUCCA